rnacentral:rRNA from 1 species
UUGCACGCUGGCGGCAGGCCUAACCCAUGCAAGUCGAGCGGAUGAAGGGAGCUUGCUCCUGGCUUCAGCGGCGGACGGGUGAGUAAUGCCUAGGAAUCUGCCUGGUAGUGGGGGAUAACGUCCGGAAACGGGCGCUAAUACCGCAUACGUCCUGAGGGAGAAAGUGGGGGAUCUUCGGACCUCACGCUAUCAGAUGAGCCUAGGUCGGAUUAGCUAGUUGGUGGGGUAAAGGCCUACCAAGGCGACGAUCCGUAACUGGUCUGAGAGGAUGAUCAGUCACACUGGAACUGAGACACGGUCCAGACUCCUACGGGAGGCAGCAGUGGGGAAUAUUGGACAAUGGGCGAAAGCCUGAUCCAGCCAUGCCGCGUGUGUGAAGAAGGUCUUCGGAUUGUAAAGCACUUUAAGUUGGGAGGAAGAGCAGUAAGUUAAUACCUUGCUGUUUUGACGUUACCAACAGAAUAAGCACCGGCUAACUUCGUG